rnacentral:rRNA from 1 species
UGGGGAAUAUUGCACAAUGGGCGCAAGCCUGAUGCAGCCAUGCCGCGUGUGUGAAGAAGGCCUUCGGGUUGUAAAGCACUUUCAGCGAGGAGGAAGGGUUCAGUGUUAAUAGCACUGUUCAUUGACGUUACUCGCAGAAGAAGCACCGGCUAACUCCGUGCCAGCAGCCGCGGUAAUACGGAGGGUGCAAGCGUUAAUCGGAAUUACUGGGCGUAAAGCGCACGCAGGCGGUUUGUUAAGUCAGAUGUGAA